rnacentral:ribozyme from 14 species
UUUUUUAUUUUUUUUUAAUUUUUUUAAAAGAAAAAAAGAAAAAGAC